rnacentral:rRNA from 1 species
AACGAACGCUGGCGGCAUGCCUAACACAUGCAAGUCGAACGAGACCUUCGGGUCUAGUGGCGCACGGGUGCGUAAAGCGUGGGAACCUGCCCUUAGGUUCGGAAUAACUCCCCGAAAGGGGUGCUAAUACCGGAUAAUGUCUUCGGACCAAAGAUUUAUCGCCUUUGGAUGGGCCCGCGUUGGAUUAGCUAGUUGGUAGGGUAAAAGCCUACCAAGGCGACGAUCCAUAGCUGGUCUGAGAGGAUGAUCAGCCACACUGGGACUGAGACACGGCCCAGACUCCUACGGGAGGCAGCAGUGGGGAAUAUUGGACAAUGGGCGAAAGCCUGAUCCAGCAAUGCCGCGUGAGUGAUGAAGGCCUUAGGGUUGUAAAGCUCUUUUACCCGGGAUGAUAAUGACAGUACCGGGAGAAUAAGCUCCGGCUAACUCCGUG